GACGGUAGGGCGCGAGCGUUGUCCGGAUUUAUUGGGCGUAAAGAGCUCGUAGGUCGGCUUGAUCCGCGUACGACCGUGAAAACCCGUGGCUCAACUACGGGCUGGCGGUUCGAUACGGGCAGGCUGGAGUUCGGUAGGGGAGACUGGAAAUUCCUGGUGUAGCGGUGAAAUGCGCAGAUAUCAGGAGGAACACCGGUGGCGAAGGCGGGUCUCUGGGCCGUAACUGACGGCUGAGGAGCGAAAGCGUGGGGAGCGAACAGG
rnacentral:rRNA from 1 species